rnacentral:rRNA from 1 species
CCCCACUUGAUUUAAACCUAAUAACCCCUCCGUAGUGAACCUGCGGAGGGAUCAUUACCGAGUUUACAACUCCCAAACCCCUGUGAACAUACCACUUGUUGCCUCGGCGGAUCAGCCCGCUCCCGGUAAAACGGGACGGCCCGCCAGAGGACCCCUAAACUCUGUUUCUAUAUGUAACUUCUGAGUAAAACCAUAAAUAAAUCAAAACUUUCAACAACGGAUCUCUUGGUUCUGGCAUCGAUGAAGAACGCAGCAAAAUGCGAUAAGUAAUGUGAAUUGCAGAAUUCAGUGAAUCAUCGAAUCUUUGAACGCACAUUGCGCCCGCCAGUAUUCUGGCGGGCAUGCCUGUUCGAGCGUCAUUUCAACCCUCAAGCACAGCUUGGUGUUGGGACUCGCGUUAAUUCGCGUUCCCCAAAUUGAUUGGCGGUCACGUCGAGCUUCCAUAGCGUAGUAGUAAAACCCUCGUUACUGGUAAUCGUCGCGGCCACGCCGUUAAACCCCAACUUCUGAAUGUGACCUCGAUCAGUAGAACCCGCUGA